UGAAAACUAAAUCAAGUGAAGUUGGAGCACCAAUCAGUGGUGCUGGCAAUGCAGGCUGUUACACCAAGGAGGCAGGCUUCUGGUCCUAUUAUGAGGUUUGUCUUAAUCUUAAAAGAAAAAACUGUUUAAGCGGAUUUAAGAACAGAAAGUUCCAUAUGACACCUCAGUAAAUCAGUGGGUCGGCUUUGACAACAAAGACAGCAUUAAUGCUAAGGUAGCCAUUUGUUUAAUGCCUAUAAUUCUUUAGAAAACAACUAGUUGUACACAAAUCCAGUUAAACAGCUGAUGUGUGAUCAUGACUUCAGCUGUUGAUCUUUUUCUUUUGUAUUCUCUCAGAUCAACUACCUAACUGAAAACAACUUUGGAGGAGUCUUUGUCUGGUCUAUGAAUCUGGAUGUAACCAGGGCAAAUACCAUCUCGUCGGCCAUCCGCAUAGCUUUCUGGUUUCAGGUAAACCUGAAGGUUGUGAAAAGUGUCUAUCCGAUCCUGUAGAAAGGCAGUGACAUUUUAAUGAGAUUUUAUUAACUCUUAAGUUCCAGUCAUGACCACUGCCAAGGAACCUAGGAAUAAUGUUCAAACUACUCCAAAUCCAGAGAUUCCACCUAUAGACCCCACAGACCAUGGCUCUGAAACUUCAACCAUAACCACUACAACUACCACCACCACCACAACGACCUCUGCCAGGAAACCUGAUACAAAAUUCUGUCAGAAAAAGACCAAUUUUACAAUUGUUUCAAUAACAUUACAAUUAUGUCCAAAAAUGCCCCUCUGGUUUAGUCUACCUAGAUAACUGCAAAUGUUGUAACUGGUCCUAAAUGUGCAUGCAUUAUUAAUUUUACUAUCCUUGAGUGGUAGUUCAUACUUAUUAACACAAAAGGUGUAUUACUAAAAGCUGU